rnacentral:rRNA from 1 species
AUGGAAGAUGAGAGGAAAAGAGCCAAACUGCGCAAAUCCCUGCAGCUCUGCAUCUCCAAGAAACUCAAGAAGAUCCCUCCGAUUCACAUCCCCAGCUCGACCAUUCCCGCAACCAUCGCCAGCAGCAGGCGGCUCCUCUCCACCUGCAGGUUCCCGCGUACACCGUCGCUGGACAUGGACCAGGCCGCCACCGCUACCACCAACAACAACAACAGCGGAGGCCACGCGGCGACGCUCUCCGACGUCGACCGCUUCCUCUUUGACAACUUUCGGUCUCUCUAUAUCCAUGACCAUGACGACGACAACGCGCGUUUUUCGUCAUCGCCCAGGACGUCAUCCACGUCCAUUAUCGACGAGACGCAGCUCACCGCAGGAACAACAUCCUUGUCGAACUCAGUCAAGGAAGACACCGGAGAAGCCCGACCAGGUGAUGACACCAGCGAUGAUGCGGCCAUAGUCCUAUUCUCCAUGGACCCUUACACCGACUUCAGGAGGUCCAUGCAGAACAUGAUAAAGAUGCACCACGGUCUGGAAUCUCAGUCACUGGACUGGGACUUCUUGGAGGAGCUACUCUUUUACUACCUGCAGCUCAACGAUCAAAGUGUGCACAGGCACAUUCUCAAGGCCUUUGCUGACCUCACUGCUGGAACCCAAAGGGAUAUCCCAGCCUGUGGAAAACCGCACUGGGCUGACAAGAGCGUUAGGAGUAGGAAAUACUAG